rnacentral:piRNA from 1 species
UAAGAUGCUCUUAUCUUCACUUGGGAUUUGU